rnacentral:rRNA from 1 species
CAGCCGCCACGGGAAUACAGAGGGUGCGAGCGUUAAUCGGAUUUACUGGGCGUAAAGCGUGCGUAGGCGGCUUCUUAAGUCGGAUGUGAAAUCCCUGAGCUUAACUUAGGAAUUGCAUUCGAUACUGGGAAGCUAGAGUAUGGGAGAGGAUGGUAGAAUUCCAGGUGUAGCGGUGAAAUGCGUAGAGAUCUGGAGGAAUACCGAUGGCGAAGGCAGCCAUCUGGCCUAAUACUGACGCUGAGGUACGAAAGCAUGGGGAGCAAACAGGAUAAGAUACCCCAGUAGUCCCUGUCUCUUAUAA